CAUGUGUUAUUCCCACAGAAAAAUAGAAGUGCAAUACAGAAGGAGUGAAGGUUUAUAAAAUGCAUUUUAAUGUCUUAUGAAUAAGAGCUGGAUGCAGAUACCUUAGCCAAAAAUAUAAAAAUACAAAAGGAAUAAGUACAGACGAUAUGAUUAGACCCUUACUGUGGUUGGAAUUAUCCCCAAAGUCUCCUCUCCUCAUUUAAAUGAAGUUUACUCUGUUUCAUAGUCUUCUUUGCAGUAACAUACUUAGUCAAAUCCUAGAAAAUUGCUAACUUCAUCAGCAGUAGGCAAUGCGAGGGCCUGAGGAUAUAGCUGGUCUUUUAUUUAUUCAUUAGAUCUAUAUAACAUCUAUUUUCCAAAGAGCUCCAGGCCUUGUAGAGAAUGUUUAACUGAUGUUAGACAAGAGUUUCAUGGAAAUGAGAACAGAGCUGUGUCUAAGGAGAAGCGGCAGCAGAGGAGGAAGAAGGAAGUGUAAGAGGAAAUGGAGAUAUUUAUGGUGGGGAAAAGACACGAGAAGUCUUUAAAAUGGCCAAAAUAAAAAUGCAAAGUCCCCAGUGCUGGCUCUCUCUAGUUAGUCCAGUUAGCGAUAUGAUGACAGAUGUUCCAUUUCUAUGAAGGAGAACUCUUGAAUCUCUUUCUUAGAAUUACACACACAGGGCAAGCUUCCAGCAGGGUCAUUUUCAGCAGAGGUGUUAAAUUCACAAGCUAUAUGCUGGUAAAAUUUAAUAUUCAAAUCCAGUAAUAUUUAUGUUAACACAUUUUAGUAUGUCUAAUGAAGUUCUCUCCCACUUCUCCUGGGUCUGAUGUGCCUUAAGUUUUUCAUAUUGCAUGCCAUUCGGAAAAUAUUGAAAAUCAGAAAGAAGAAUGGAUAGAACGUGGCAGCAUUGAUAUUUAUAAGACUGUAAUAGUAUGUAGUUAACUGGAAACUCUGCUGUGACAUGUCCCCCACUCUUCCAUGGCCACACAGAGGUGGGAGGCUCCUGGAGUGAGAGUUCUUGGCACAUAAUUGUUGUUGGACUCCUUCUAUGACAUGUAAUCUCUACACAGCUCAUUGAAUAGGGAUCCAGCCAGGUUCAUGCCAAUUUCAACACUAGCAGUAAACAGAAGUUCUGGGUGCUGGAGUACAGCAGAGGCCAGUGCAGUCAAGACCAGUGUCCCCAUGAAAUUCACUUUCUAGUUGGAGACACAUCCAAAACAGGAGAAGCCUGGGGUUUUGAAUACAUGAACGUGUGAUCCUUAGCAACCACCACAAAUCAAACAGGAGUGAUGCCAUGUUUGGACGAGAUCUGAUUUCAUAGAGAU